rnacentral:rRNA from 1 species
CUACCGGGGUAUCUAAUCCUGUUUGCUACCCACGCUUUCGUGUCUCAGCGUCAGUCGUGGUCCAGUAAGCUGUCUACACCGCAGGUGUUCCUCCUGAUAUCUACGCAUUUCACCGCUACACCAGGAAUUCCGCUUACCUCUCCCACACUCUAGCAUUCCAGUUUCUAGCGCACCCUCCCAGUUGAGCCGGGAGAUUUCACACCAGACUUAGAACACCGCCUACACACUCUUUACGCCCAGUAAUUCCGAACAACGCUCGCUGCCUACGUAUUACCGCGGCUGCUGGCAC